GCCGCUAGAAAAGUAGAGUUGGGGCUGUAGAAUGAUGCGAUGGAGAAGGAGUACCCGAGAAGGAACUAUCUAUAGGACAAAACGGGCAAGGGCAAAUCCGACUUAUCUCUUUGCGGUAUCCGUGAAAUCCGAGGGUACUCAGGUGGAUAUGGUAACUGUUCGUGCAAUAAUCGGGGGAUUGCGCAGGUGAUUUGACAUGAAGCGGUCGUAAUCUGGAGAUAUUUCACUGUGUGGGAUUUCCUAGUCGGUCCAUCGGCAGCUCCUUCUAACGGUAAUAUUGCUGAUGGGCGAAUAAGGUGGAGGUGUCCGUUUGGGAGGUUGAGGAAUUCGAGGAAUCUGUGGAAGAAUCGGGCCAAGGUUGUUCAGAUUUAGACUGUCGGUUGCCAAAUUGGGAGAAUUAAUUGCGGAAAGGCAUCAUUACUGCAGAGAACUUUGGAGCAUUAAUGAUUUCAUACUCCGAAAUUGGGGGGCAU
rnacentral:lncRNA from 1 species